rnacentral:rRNA from 1 species
GGGUCUUGCCCCAAAGAGAUUAAUAAUUCAACAUCGAGGUCAUAAUCUUUUUCUUUUAUAAGAACUUUAAGAAAAAAUUGUGCUGUUAUCCCUACGGUAACUUAAUUGACUCUCAAAAUUGAGGAUGGGAAAAGAUUAAGGAAAAAGAUUUAGUUUUUUACCGCCCCAGUUCAACAAAAGUAAAGUUCGAUAGGGUCUUGUCGUCCUUCUUCGAAAUACAAGUCUUUUUACUUGAAAGAAAAGUUAAAAUAGUUCGGGUAAUAAAGAAAUUUAUAUGUCAAACCUUUCAUUCAAGCCUUCAAUUAAAAGGCAAAUGAUUAUGCUACCUUAGCACAAGAAAAUUGCGGCUAUUGAAUAAAUCAUUGAGCAGGCCCUACUGAAUAUAAGUUCAUUCAGAAAUGUUUUUGAUAAACAGACAAUAAAUAUAUAGGCCGAGUUCAUGGACCUGAAUAUGGAAUAAAUUAAAGGGCGUGUAUCAAUGAAAGAAAGUUAAAUAGGUUUUACUAAUGAAGUCAUUGUGAAGAUUAAAAGGUAGGUUUCUUUUAAUAUCAUUAUUUAAUAAAAAUGUUAAAGUUUUUAAACUCGAAGGAUACUAUUAAUCCUAGUGUUUGGAAAAUAAAGAAAUGAUAAAUUUUUAAAAAAGUUUAUCCCUUUUUAAGUUUUGGUAUUGUUACCUUCAAAGAGAACCAGAUAUAAUAGAAUGCGAAUGGAAUUUCAUCUCUAUUCCCGCUUUGGAAAACUUUAUGAAACAAGUUUGAUAAGCAGAAAUAGAUCAUUUCAAUUUCGGGAGUGUUUAUUAAAAAGGGUGGAUUUGACCUCCCCUGGAUACUAAAGGUACAUUAUUCUUCUGUUUAGCAAUUGGAAAGUCUUCCCUCACGGUUAAAUAAGGUGAAUAAAGGAACAUAAAGAAUAAAAUAUUUAUUUAAAUAACAAUCCGAAGUGGAAAAAU